UACGGGGGGGGCAAGCGUUGUCCGGAAUUACUGGGCGUAAAGGGCUCGUAGGCGGCCAACUAAGUCAGACGUGAAAUCCCUCGGCUUAACCGGGGAACUGCGUCUGAAACUGGAUGGCUGGAGGUUGGGAGAGGGAUGCGGAAUUCCAGGUGUAGCGGUGAAAUGCGUAGAUAUCUGGAGGAACACCGGUGGCGAAGGCGGCAUCCUGGACCAAUUCUGACGCUGAGGAGCGAAAGCCAGGGGAGCAAACGGG
rnacentral:rRNA from 1 species